rnacentral:lncRNA from 1 species
AAACUCAUCCAUCCUUCGUCCAUCACCUGCAGUUGAUUUCCCGACACUUAUAUCAGACUUGAAGUAGCUCUUGAAAAACCAUGGACCCAUUGGAGCAAAGUCACAUUGCAUUAAGAGGAGAUGUUGACUCGAUGAAAAACCAGAUAGACCAACUUGUGGAGGCUAUGAUAACUUUAGAAAAGAGGGAGGACAACAUUCAGCAGACUGCAGUCGUAGAGAAUGUUAU